rnacentral:tRNA from 1 species
GGAGGAAUUCCUGAGAGGUCAAAAGGGACAGACUGUAAAUCUGUUGAUAAAUUAUCUUCGUUGGUUCGAAUCCAGCUUCCUUCA